rnacentral:rRNA from 1 species
GCCCUUUCGGUAAUUCCAGCUCCAAUAGCGUAUAUUAAGUUGUUGCGGUUAAAAAGCUCGUAGUUGGAUUUCUGUUGAGGGCAGCCGGUCCGCUCUCUGAGCGUGUAUCUGGUUUGACCUCGGCAUCCUCUCAAAAUACGUUUCUGCGCUUGAUUGCGUGGAGCGGAGUUUGAGACUUUUACUUUGAGGAAAUUAGAGUGUUCACGGCAGGCAAUCGCCUUGAAUAUAUUAGCAUGGAAUAAUAAUAUAGGAUCUUGGUUCUAUUUUGUUGGUUUCUAGAGCUAAGAUAAUGAUUAAUAGGGACAAUUGGGGGCAUUCGUAUUAACGCGUCAGAAGUGGAAUUCUUGGAUUGCGUUACGACGAACUACUGCGAAAGCAUUUGCCAAGGAUGUUUUCAUUGAUCAAGAACGAAAGUAAGGGGAUCGAAGACGAUUAGAUACCGUCGUAGUCUUUACCAUAAACUAUGCCAACUAGAGAUGGGGUGUCGUUCUUUUCUGACUCACUCCGCACCUUAUGAGAAAUCAAAGUCUUUGGGUUCCGGGGGGAGUAUGGUCGCAAGGCUGAAACUUAAAGGAAUUGACGGAAGGGCACCACCAGGAGUGGAGCCUGCGGCUCAAUUUGACUCAACACGGGAAAACUCACCAGGUCCAGACAUAGUAAGGAUUGACAGAUUGAUAGCUCUUUCUUGAUUCUAUGGGUGGUGGUGCAUGGCCGUUCUUAGUUGGUGGAGUGAUUUGUCUGCUUAAUUGCGUUAACGAACGAGACCUUAACCUGCUAAAUAGAUCAUCCUAUCUCCGGAUAAGGUGCUUUCUUCUUAGAGGGACUUUGUGUUUUUCAGCGCAAGGAAGUUUGAGGCAAUAACAGGUCUGUGAUGCCCUUAGAUGUUCUGGGCUGCACGCGCGCUACACUGAUGCGUUCAACGAGUGUAUCACCUUGCCCGAUAGGGUUGGGUAAUCUUUUGAACACGCGUCGUGAUGGGGAUAGAUUAUUGCAAUUAUUAAUCUUCAACGAGGAAUUCCUAGUAAUGAUGAAUCAUCAGUUCAUCGUGAUUACGUCCCUGCCCUUUGUACACACCGCCCGUCGCUCCUACCGAUUGAGCAAUCCGGUGAAUACUUCGGACCGUUUGCUUAAGUGGUUCGCCACCUUUGCAGAUGGAAAGUCGAGUGAACCUUAUUGCUUAGAGGAAGGAGAAGUCGUAACAAGGUAGCCG